UAAGAGGUCCAGCCUGCCCGGUGACAAAGUUUAACGGCCGCGGUACCCUAACCGUGCGAAGGUAGCAUAAUCACUUGUUCUUUAAAUAGGGACUAGUAUCAACGGCAUCACGAGGGUUACACUGUCUCCUUUCCCCAAUCAGUGAAACUGAUCUCCCCGUGAAGAAGCGGGGAUAUAACUAUAAGACGAGAAGACCCCAUGGAGCUUUAAGCUCAACAGCACCUCUAUACAAAUAUACCCCCACAACCCACGAGCCCUGUUUGUUAGCUUUAGGUUGGGGUGACCGCGGAGUAUAAUACAACCUCCACGACGAAUAGGCCUAAAACCUUUAUCCAAGAGCCACUGCUCUAAGAAUCAUAAAAUUGACGUAAAAUGAUCCGAUUUUCGAUCAACGAACCAAGUUACCCUGGGGAUAACAGCGCAAUCCAUUUCAAGAGCCCCUAU
rnacentral:rRNA from 1 species